CCCUUAGAUGUUCUGGGCCGCACGCGCGCUACACUGAUGAACGCAACGAGACCACCUGUACCGAAAGGCAUGGGUAAACUUGUGAAAGUUCAUCGUGAUGGGGAUAGAUUAUUGCAAUUAUUAAUCUUCAACGAGGAAUUCCUAGUAAGCGCGAGUCAUCAGCUCGCGUUGAUUACGUCCCUGCCCUUUUACACACCGCCCGUCGCUCCUACCGAUUGAAUGGUCCGGUGAAAUCUUCGGAUUGCUGGAUAGGACUUGGCAACUUGACCUAUCUGCGAGAAGUUGCUUGAACCUUAUCAUUUAGAGGAAGGAGAAGUCGUAACA
rnacentral:rRNA from 1 species